rnacentral:lncRNA from 1 species
CCCAUAAGCAUUGCACAGAUCCUUUAGGGCUCCCCCAGAUCCUAUAGGGCUCCCCCUGACCCUAUAGGCACCGCCCAACCCCGUAAGCCUCGCCCAGAUCCUAUAGGUACCCACAGAUCCUAUAGGCACCGCCCAACCCCAUAGGCAUUGCCCAGAUCCUAUAGGGCACCUCCAGAUCCUAUAGGGCUCCCCCUGCCCCUAUAGGCACUGCCCAGAUCCUAUAGGUACCCCCAGAUCCUAUAGGCACCGCCCAACCCCAUAAGCAUCGCACAGAUCCUUUAGGGCUCCCCCAGAUCCCAUAGGGCUCCCCCAGAUCCUAAAGGGCUCCCCCAGAUCCUAUAGGGCUCCCCUUGCCCCUAUACACACCUUCCAAACCCCAUAGGCAUUGCCCAGAUCCUAUAGGCACCCCCUGAUCCUAUAGGACUCCGCCUGCCCCUAUAGGCACCACACAGAUCCUAUUGGUCAUCCCCUGUCCCUAUAGGCACCGCCCAACCCCAUAAGCCUCGCCCAGAUCCUAUAGGGCACCCCCAGAUCCUAUGGGGCUCCCCCUGCCCCUAUAGGCACCGCUCAACCCCGUAAGCAUCGUCCAGAUCCUAUAGUUGCCCCCAGAUCCUAUGGGGCUCCCUCUGCCCCUAUAGGCACCACCCAGAUCCUAUAGAUACCCCCAGAUCCUAUAGGGCUCCGCCUGCCCCUAUAGGCACCACACAGAUCCUAUAGGUACCCCCAGAUCCUAUAGAUACCAACCAACCCCAUAGGGAUUGCCCAGAUCCUAUAGGUACCCCCAGAUCCUAUAGGGCUCCCCCUGUCCCUAUAGGCACCGCCCAACCCCAUAAGCAUCCCACAGAUCCCGUAGGGCUCCCCCAGAUCCUAUAGGGCACCCCCUGCCCCUAUAGGCACCACCCAGAUCCUAUAGGCACCCCCAGAUCCUAUAGGCACCGCCCAACCCCAUAAGCAUCCCACAGAUCCUAUAGGGCACCCUUGAUCCUAUAGGGUUCCCCCUGCCCCUAUAGGCACCAUCCAACCCCAUAGGCAUUGCCCAGAUCCUACAGGUACCCCCAGAUCCUAUAGGGUAUCUCUUGCCCCUAUAGGCACCUCCCCACCCCCCCAUAGAUUUUCUAUAGAUACCCCAUAUCCACCCCAUAUCCCUAUAGAUCCCCUAUAGCCACCCCACACCCCACAUAGAUCCCCUCCGGCCACCCCACACCCCCUUUAGAUACCCUAUAGAUCCCCUAUAACCACCCCACACCCCUUUUGAUACCCUACAGAUCCCCUAUAACUGCCCCAAACCCUUUUAAACACCCCAUAGAUCCCCUAUAACCACCCCACCCCCCUUCAGAUACCCUAUAGAUGCCAUAUAACCACCCCAAUCCCCUUUAAAUACUCUACAGAUCCCCUAUAACCACCCCAAUCCCCUUCAGACACCCCAUAGAUCCCCUAUAACCACCCCAAUCCCCUUCAGACACCCUAUAGAUCCCCUAUAACCACCCCACCCCCCUUCAGACACCCUAUAGAUACCCUAUAACCACCCCAACCCCCUUUAGAUACCCUACAAAUCCCCUAUAACCACCUCAAUCCCUUUCAGACACCCUAUAGCUCCCCUAUAACCACCCCACUCCCCUUCAGAUACCCUAUAGAUCCCCUAUAACCACCCCACACCCCUUCAGACCCCCUAUUACCACCCCAACCCCCUUCAGAUACCCUAUAGAUGCCCUAUAACCACCCCAAUUCCCUUUAGACACCCUAUAGAUCCCCUAUAAACCCCCCUUUAGAUACCCUAUAGACCCCCUACAACCACCCCACCCCCCCUUCAGACACCCUAUAGAUCCCCUAUAACCACCCCACCCCCCUUCAGAUACCCUAUAGAUGCCCUAUAGCCACCCCAACCCCCUUCAGAUACCCUAUAGAUCCCCUAUAACCACCCCAAUCCCUUUUAGACACCCUAUAGAUCCCCUAUAACCACACCACCCCCUUCAGAUACCCUAUAGAUGCCCUAUAACGGCCCCAAUCCCUUUUAGACACCCCGUAGAUCCCCUAUAAC